GGGUUGUGAGGUUAAGCGACUAAGCGUACACGGUGGAUGCCCUGGCAGUCAGAGGCGAUGAAGGACGUGCUAAUCUGCGAUAAGCGUCGGUAAGGUGAUAUGAACCGUUAUAACCGGCGAUUUCCGAAUGGGGAAACCCAGUGUGUUUCGACACACUAUCAUUAACUGAAUCCAUAGGUUAAUGAGGCGAACCGGGGGAACUGAAACAUCUAAGUACCCCGAGGAAAAGAAAUCAACCGAGAUUCCCCCAGUAGCGGCGAGCGAACGGGGAGCAGCCCAGAGCCUGAAUCAGUGUGUGUGUUAGUGGAAGCGUCUGGAAAGGCGCGCGAUACAGGGUGACAGCCCCGUACACAAAAAUGCACAUGCUGUGAGCUCGAUGAGUAGGGCGGGACACGUGGUAUCCUGUCUGAAUAUGGGGGGACCAUCCUCCAAGGCUAAAUACUCCUGACUGACCGAUAGUGAACCAGUACCGUGAGGGAAAGGCGAAAAGAACCCCGGCGAGGGGAGUGAAAAAGAACCUGAAACCGUGUACGUACAAGCAGUGGGAGCACGCUUAGGCGUGUGACUGCGUACCUUUUGUAUAAUGGGUCAGCGACUUAUAUUCUGUAGCAAGGUUAACCGAAUAGGGGAGCCGAAGGGAAACCGAGUCUUAACUGGGCGUUAAGUUGCAGGGUAUAGACCCGAAACCCGGUGAUCUAGCCAUGGGCAGGUUGAAGGUUGGGUAACACUAACUGGAGGACCGAACCGACUAAUGUUGAAAAAUUAGCGGAUGACUUGUGGCUGGGGGUGAAAGGCCAAUCAAACCGGGAGAUAGCUGGUUCUCCCCGAAAGCUAUUUAGGUAGCGCCUCGUGAAUUCAUCUCCGGGGGUAGAGCACUGUUUCGGCAAGGGGGUCAUCCCGACUUACCAACCCGAUGCAAACUGCGAAUACCGGAGAAUGUUAUCACGGGAGACACACGGCGGGUGCUAACGUCCGUCGUGAAGAGGGAAACAACCCAGACCGCCAGCUAAGGUCCCAAAGUCAUGGUUAAGUGGGAAACGAUGUGGGAAGGCCCAGACAGCCAGGAUGUUGGCUUAGAAGCAGCCAUCAUUUAAAGAAAGCGUAAUAGCUCACUGGUCGAGUCGGCCUGCGCGGAAGAUGUAACGGGGCUAAACCAUGCACCGAAGCUGCGGCAGCGACGCUUAUGCGUUGUUGGGUAGGGGAGCGUUCUGUAAGCCUGUGAAGGUGUGCUGUGAGGCAUGCUGGAGGUAUCAGAAGUGCGAAUGCUGACAUAAGUAACGAUAAAGCGGGUGAAAAGCCCGCUCGCCGGAAGACCAAGGGUUCCUGUCCAACGUUAAUCGGGGCAGGGUGAGUCGACCCCUAAGGCGAGGCCGAAAGGCGUAGUCGAUGGGAAACAGGUUAAUAUUCCUGUACUUGGUGUUACUGCGAAGGGGGGACGGAGAAGGCUAUGUUGGCCGGGCGACGGUUGUCCCGGUUUAAGCGUGUAGGCUGGUUUUCCAGGCAAAUCCGGAAAAUCAAGGCUGAGGCGUGAUGACGAGGCACUACGGUGCUGAAGCAACAAAUGCCCUGCUUCCAGGAAAAGCCUCUAAGCAUCAGGUAACAUCAAAUCGUACCCCAAACCGACACAGGUGGUCAGGUAGAGAAUACCAAGGCGCUUGAGAGAACUCGGGUGAAGGAACUAGGCAAAAUGGUGCCGUAACUUCGGGAGAAGGCACGCUGAUAUGUAGGUGAAGCGACUUGCUCGUGGAGCUGAAAUCAGUCGAAGAUACCAGCUGGCUGCAACUGUUUAUUAAAAACACAGCACUGUGCAAACACGAAAGUGGACGUAUACGGUGUGACGCCUGCCCGGUGCCGGAAGGUUAAUUGAUGGGGUUAGCCGCAAGGCGAAGCUCUUGAUCGAAGCCCCGGUAAACGGCGGCCGUAACUAUAACGGUCCUAAGGUAGCGAAAUUCCUUGUCGGGUAAGUUCCGACCUGCACGAAUGGCGUAAUGAUGGCCAGGCUGUCUCCACCCGAGACUCAGUGAAAUUGAACUCGCUGUGAAGAUGCAGUGUACCCGCGGCAAGACGGAAAGACCCCGUGAACCUUUACUAUAGCUUGACACUGAACAUUGAGCCUUGAUGUGUAGGAUAGGUGGGAGGCUUUGAAGUGUGGACGCCAGUCUGCAUGGAGCCGACCUUGAAAUACCACCCUUUAAUGUUUGAUGUUCUAACGUUGACCCGUAAUCCGGGUUGCGGACAGUGUCUGGUGGGUAGUUUGACUGGGGCGGUCUCCUCCUAAAGAGUAACGGAGGAGCACGAAGGUUGGCUAAUCCUGGUCGGACAUCAGGAGGUUAGUGCAAUGGCAUAAGCCAGCUUGACUGCGAGCGUGACGGCGCGAGCAGGUGCGAAAGCAGGUCAUAGUGAUCCGGUGGUUCUGAAUGGAAGGGCCAUCGCUCAACGGAUAAAAGGUACUCCGGGGAUAACAGGCUGAUACCGCCCAAGAGUUCAUAUCGACGGCGGUGUUUGGCACCUCGAUGUCGGCUCAUCACAUCCUGGGGCUGAAGUAGGUCCCAAGGGUAUGGCUGUUCGCCAUUUAAAGUGGUACGCGAGCUGGGUUUAGAACGUCGUGAGACAGUUCGGUCCCUAUCUGCCGUGGGCGCUGGAGAACUGAGGGGGGCUGCUCCUAGUACGAGAGGACCGGAGUGGACGCAUCACUGGUGUUCGGGUUGUCAUGCCAAUGGCACUGCCCGGUAGCUAAAUGCGGAAGAGAUAAGUGCUGAAAGCAUCUAAGCACGAAACUUGCCCCGAGAUGAGUUCUCCCUGACUCCUUGAGAGUCCUGAAGGAACGUUGAAGACGACGACGUUGAUAGGCCGGGUGUGUAAGCGCAGCGAUGCGUUGAGCUAACCGGUACUAAUGAACCGUGAGGCUUAACCUUACAACGCCGAAG
rnacentral:rRNA from 1 species